UACGGGGGGGGCAAGCGUUGUUCGGAAUUACUGGGCGUAAAGGGCGCGUAGGCGGCCAACUAAGUCGGAUGUGAAAUCCCCAGGCUCAACUUGGGAACUGCAUCCGAUACUGGAUGGCUUGAAUCCGGGAGAGGGAUGCAGAAUUCCAGGUGUAGCGGUGAAAUGCGUAGAUAUCUGGAGGAAUACCGGUGGCGAAGGCGGCAUCCUGGACCGGCAUUGACGCUGAUGAGCGAAAGCCAGGGGAGCAAACGGG
rnacentral:rRNA from 1 species